rnacentral:rRNA from 1 species
GAGACCCACGCCAACAGUUGCCAGCACGUUCUCCGGAAUGGUGGGGACACUGUUGGGACCGCCUCUGCUAAAGAGGAGGAAGGAAUGGGCAACGGUAGGUCAGCAUGCCCCGAAUUACCCGGGCUACACGCGGGCUACAAUGGACAGGACAAUGGGAAUCGACACCGAGAGGUGAAGGCAAUCCCCUAAACCUGCCCUUAGUUCGGAUUGUGGGCUGCAACUCGCCCACAUGAAGCUGGAAUCCGUAGUAAUCGCACAUCAACAGUGUGCGGUGAAUAC